rnacentral:rRNA from 1 species
UCCUCCCUCUGGCGGCGUGCUUAACACAUGCAAGUCGAACGGAAAGGCCCUGCUUUUGUGGGGUGCUCGAGUGGCGAACGGGUGAGUAACACGUGAGUAACCUGCCCUUGACUUUGGGAUAACUUCAGGAAACUGGGGCUAAUACCGGAUAGGAGCUCCUGCUGCAUGGUGGGGGUUGGAAAGUUUCGGCGGUUGGGGAUGGACUCGCGGCUUAUCAGCUUGUUGGUGGGGUAGUGGCUUACCAAGGCUUUGACGGGUAGCCGGCCUGAGAGGGUGACCGGCCACAUUGGGACUGAGAUACGGCCCAGACUCCUACGGGAGGCAGCAGUGGGGAAUAUUGCACAAUGGGCGGAAGCCUGAUGCAGCAACGCCGCGUGCGGGAUGACGGCCUUCGGGUUGUAAACCGCUUUCGCCUGUGACGAAGCGUGAGUGACGGUAAGGGGUAAAGAAGCACCGGCGAACGACGUGC